GACGUAGGGGGCGAACGUUAUCCGGAAUUAUUGGGCGUAAAGGGUGCGUAGGCGGCAUGAUAAGUUAUUGGCGGCAAAUCGAGGCUCAACCUCGUGGAAACUGAUAAUACUGUCUUGCUUGAGUGCAGAAGAGGUUAACGGAACUCCAUGUGGAGCGGUAAAAUGUGUAGAUAUAUGGAAGAACAUCAAUAACGGCGAAGGCAGUUAACUAUUCUGUUACUGACGUUGAGGCACGAAGGCGUGGGGAGCAAAACGG
rnacentral:rRNA from 1 species